GGGGCCAUAGCUUAGUCUGGUGGAGCGCACGACUGAUAAUCGUGAGGUCGAGGGUUCAAAUCCCUUUGGCCCCA
rnacentral:tRNA from 1 species